GCCUCUGUGGUGUAGUUGGUUAUCACGUGAGUCUCAUAUUGAUCUCCUUUUCAAAAGGAUGAUGGAGGUGGAAGGUUGGUUUAUUGUAACUAUCUAGCGGGCGCAGCACUGCUUAAUGUUAGGCCACUUGGGGCAAAAGAGCUCUCUCACACCAGCGCCAUGCGGGGACGAACCAAUCCAAACCCCCAACACUUAAAUAGGUGUGUGGGUCACGUGGCAUAAGCAAGCAUUAGGGAUGCCAACAAAGGAAAUGUUAUAAAAUAUGAUAGGUAGCAAACAAAAUUGCUUAAGCAAUCUCAAGGUCGCCAGUUCGAUCCUGGCCGGAGGCA
rnacentral:tRNA from 1 species